UACGUAGGGUGCGAGCGUUGUCCGGAAUUACUGGGCGUAAAGAGCUCGUAGGUGGUUUGUCGCGUUGUCCGUGAAAACUCACAGCUCAACUGUGGGCGUGCGGGCGAUACGGGCAGACUGGAGUACUGCAGGGGAGACUGGAAUUCCUGGUGUAGCGGUGAAAUGCGCAGAUAUCAGGAGGAACACCGGUGGCGAAGGCGGCUCUCUGGACCGUAACUGACGCUGAGGCGCGAAAGCGUGGGGAGCAAACAGG
rnacentral:rRNA from 1 species